rnacentral:rRNA from 1 species
AGCAGCCGCAGUAAUUCCAGCUCCAAUAGCGUAUAUUAAAGUUGUUGCAGUUAAAAAGCUCGUAGUUGAAUUUCGGAAUCAGUACGCCAGUCAUGCUUCGGUAUGUACUAGUGUCACUGAUUCCUUCCUUCUGACGAACCGUCAUGCCAUUAAUUUAGUGUGAUGUGGAAUCAGGACUGUUACUUUGAAAAAAUUGAGUGUUUAAAGAAGGCUCGCGCUUGAAUACAUUAGCAUGGAAUAAUGAAAUAGGACGUUUGAUCUUAUUUUGUUGGUUUCUAGGAUCGAUGUAAUGAUUAAUAGGGAUAGUUGGGGGCAUUAGUAUUCAAUU